UCCCGUCUCUGUCCUGACUGUCCUCCAUGUGGCUCCUGUCUCUGUCCUGACUGUCCACCAUGUGGCUCCCGUCAUCCUCCAUGUGAGCAGGUGCUGGCGCUGUCCCGGGAGCUUCAGAGUGUGAGACAGGAGAAGAACGCUGUCCUCGGGGCUCCAGACCGGAGCGGUGUGGACCAGCUGGACGAGCUGCGCUCCGCCGUGGCGUCCCUGUCUGCAGAGAGGGACCAGCUGAAGCUGGACCUGCAGGAGAACGUGGACAUUAUGAUCGAGGUGCAGGAGGAGCUGAGGACGGCCAUGGACAAGAACCGGAAGCAGAAGGAGCUCAUCAAGCAGCUGGAGAGCACGAGGACGUCCCCAGCAGAGGACGGUCCCUCUGAAACCAGAGCUCAGAUAACAUCCCUGAGAGAGGAGCUGCAGAGGGUGGAGGCCGAGCGAGCCGGCCUGCUGGCAGAGAAGGAGUCCAUCCAGCAGAGCUCCUCAGAUCAGAUCCAGGAGCUGCAGGACAAGAUAACAUCUCUGAGUGAGGAGAGAGAGGAGCUGCAGGAGAAAAUAUCAUCUGAGAUUAAAGAGAGAGUGGAAAUGGAGAGAGCUUGUGUGCCGCCUGAGGGAUCCAGCCAGCAAAGCUCCUCAGAUCAGAUCCAGGAGCUGCAGCACAAGAUAACAUCUCUGAGAGAGGAGAGAGAGGAGCUGCAUGAGAAAAUAACAUCCCUGAGAGAGGAGCUGCAGAGGGUGGAAGCAGAGAGAAUCAGUCUGCUAACAGAGAAGGAGUCCUUCCAGCAGAGCUCCUCAGAUCAGAUCCAGGAGCUGCAGCACAAAAUACCAUCUCUGAGAGAGGAGAACAGGGAGCUGCAGCACAAGGUCGCCUCUCUCCAAGAGGAGAGAGAGGAACUACAGGACAAGAUAACAUCUCUGACAGAGGAUCUGCAGAGAGAGCAAGCAGAGCGCGCCGGCCUGCUCACUGAGGAGUCCAUCCAGGAGCUGCAGGACAAGAUAACAUCUCUGAGAGAGGAGAGAGAGGAGCUGCAAGAGAAAAUAUCAUCUCUGAGAGAGGAUCUGCAGAGAGUGGAGGCAGAGCGAGCUGGCCUGCUAGCGGAGAAGGAGUCCAUCCAGCAGACCUCCUCAGAUCAGAUCCAGGAGCUGCAGGACAAGAUAACAUCUCUGAGAGAGGAGCUGCAGAGGGUGGAGGCAGAGCGCGCCGGCCUGCUAACGGAGAAGGAGUCCAUCCAGGAGCUGCAGCACAAGAUAAGAUCUCUGAGGGAGGAGAGAGAGGAGCUGCAGGAGAAGAUAAGGUCUCUGAGCGAGGCUCUGCAGAGAGAGGAAGCAGAGACGGCUGGUCUGAAGUCAGAGAAGGAGUCCGUCCAGCAGAGCUCCUCAGAUCAGCUGCAGCAGCUGCAGGAGGCGGUGGAGACUCUGAGGCAGCAGAGGCAGCAGCUCUGGGCCCAGCUGGACUCGGUAAAGUCGGCCUGUCAUUGGUGAAGUCUGCUGAGCGCUGAAGCAUGCUGAU
rnacentral:lncRNA from 1 species